UUGGUGAACCAGCGGAGGGAUCAUUGCUGGAACGCGCCCCAGGCGCACCCAGAAACCCUUUGUGAACUUAUACCUUACUGUUGCCUCGGCGCUAGCUGGUCCUUCGGGGCCCCUCACCCCCGGGUGUUGAGACAGCCCGCCGGCGGCCAACCCAACUCUUGUUUUUACACUGAAACUCUGAGAAUAAAACAUAAAUGAAUCAAAACUUUCAACAACGGAUCUCUUGGUUCUGGCAUCGAUGAAGAACGCAGCGAAAUGCGAUAAGUAAUGUGAAUUGCAGAAUUCAGUGAAUCAUCGAAUCUUUGAACGCACAUUGCGCCCUCUGGUAUUCCGGAGGGCAUGCCUGUUCGAGCGUCAUUUCAACCCUCAAGCCUGGCUUGGUGAUGGGGCACUGCUUCUUACCCAAGGAGCAGGCCCUGAAAUUCAGUGGCGAGCUCGCCAGGACCCCGAGCGCAGUAGUUAAACCCUCGCUCUGGAAGGCCCUGGCGGUGCCCUGCCGUUAAACCCCCAACUUCUGAAAAUUUGACCUCGGAUCAGGUAGGAAUACCCGCUGAACUUAAGCAUAUC
rnacentral:rRNA from 1 species